UACGUAGGUGGCAAGCGUUGUCCGGAUUUAUUGGGUUUAAAGGGUGCGUAGGCGGCCUUGUAAGUCAGUGCUGAAAUAUCCCGGCUUAACCGGAGGGUGGCAUUGAUACUGCAGGGCUUGAGUAAAGUUGAGGUUGGCGGAAUUGACGGUGUAGCGGUGAAAUGCUUAGAUAUCGUCAAGAACACCGAUAGUGAAGACAGCUAAC
rnacentral:rRNA from 1 species